rnacentral:rRNA from 1 species
GACGUAGGAGGCGAGCGUUAUCCGGAUUCACUGGGCGUAAAGCGCGCGUAGGCGGUUGUGUAAGUCCGUUGUUAAAGCCCCUGGCUCAACUGGGGGAGGUCAAUGGAGACUACACUGACUUGAGGGCAACAGAGGCACAUGGAACUCCCGGUGUAGCGGUGGAAUGCGUAGAGAUCGGGAAGAACACCCGUGGCGAAGGCGGUGUGCUGGGUUGCGACUGACGCUGAGGUGCGAAAGUGUGGGGAGCAAACGGG